rnacentral:rRNA from 1 species
ACUCCUACGGGAGGCAGCAGUGGGGAAUAUUGCACAAUGGGGGAAACCCUGAUGCAGCCAUGCCGCGUGUGUGAAGAAGGCCUUGGGUUGUAAAGCACUUUCAGUAGGGAGGAAGGUAGUGUAGUUAACACCUGCAUUAUUUGACGUUACCUACAGAAGAAGCACCGGCUAACUCCGUGCCAGCAGCCGCGGUAAUACGGAGGGUGCGAGCGUUAAUCGGAAUUACUGGGCGUAAAGCGCAUGCAGGCGGCUUGUUAAGUCAGAUGUGAAAGCCCGGGGUCUUAACCUCGGAAUUGCAUUUGAAACUGGCAGGCUAGAGUCUUGUAGAGGGGUUAGAAUUUCAGGUGUAGCGGUGAAAUGCGUAGAGAUCUGAAGGAAUACCGAGUGGCGAAGGCGGCCCCUGGACAAAGACUGACGCGUCAGAUGCGAAAGCGUGGGAGCAAACAGGAUUAGAUACCCCU